AGUGAACGCUGGCGGCAGGCCUAACACAUGCAAGUCGAGCGAGCGGCGGACGGGUGAGUAAUGUCUGGGAAACUGCCUGAUGGAGGGGGAUAACUACUGGAAACGGUAGCUAAUACCGCAUACCAUCAGAUGUGCUCAGAUGGGAUUAGCUAGUAGGUGGGGUAACGGCUCACCUAGGCGACGAUCCCUAGCCGGUCUGAGAGGGGGACCAGCCACACUGGAACGGAGCCACGGUCCAGCCUCCUACGGGAGCCAGCAGUGAGGACUAUUGCACAAUGGGCGCAGGCCUGAUGCAGCCAUGCCGCGUGUGUGAAGCAGGCCUUCGGGUUGUAAAGCACUGUCAGCGGGGAUGCGUUACCCGCAGAAGAAGCACCGGCUAACUCCGUGCCAGCAGCCGCGGUAAUUC
rnacentral:rRNA from 1 species